CGCCGUUUGUCUGCGUCGUUCGUCACCACUUGGCUGCCCUAUUCCAAGCUUGUCGAUGAUGCGGGCACUACUUGAGUACUGCAGGGGAGACUGUACUUCCUGGUGUAGCGGUGAAAUGCGCAGAUAUCGAGAGGAACACCGGUGGCGGACGCCGGUCUCUGGGCCGUAACUGACGCUGAGGAGCGAAAGCGUGAGUAGCGAACAGGAUUCGAUACCCUGGCAGUCCACGCCGUAAACGGCGGGCGCUAGGUGUGGGUUUCCUUCCACUGGAUCCGCGCCGUACCUAACGCAUUAACCGCCCCGCCUGGGGAGUACGGCCACUAGGCCAAAACUCAAAUGAAUUGACGCCGCCCCGCACAAGCGGCGGAGCAUGUGGAUUAAUUCCACGCAACGCGAAGAACCUUACCUGGGUUUGACAUAUACCGGAAAGACGUAGAGAUACGGCCCCCCUUGUGGUCAGUAUACAGGUGGUGCAUGGCUGUCAUCUGCUCGUGUCGUGAGAUGUUGGGUUAAGUCCCGCAACGACCGCCACCUUUGUUCUGUGCUGCCAGCGCGUAAUGGCGGCUACUCGGAGGAGACUGCCGGGGUCAACUCGGAGGAAGGUGGGGACGACAUCAAGUCAUCAUCGCCCCCUUACGUCCACGGCUUCACACAUGCUACAAUGGCCGGUACAGAGGGCUGCAAUACCGUGAGGUGCAGCGAAUCCCUUAAAGCCGGUCUCAGUUCGGAUCGCGGCCUGCCACUCGACCCCGUGAAGUUCUGAUCCCCUUAUAAUCGCAGAUCAGCAACGCUGCCGUGAAUACGUUUCCCCGCCCCUCCCACCCCGCCCGUCAUGUCAUGAAUGUGCGUAACCCCCAAAACCGGUGGCCUAACCCUUGUUGAUGGAGUCCUCCAAGGGG
rnacentral:rRNA from 1 species